ACAAAUUAAUUUAAAAUUGACAUAAGUUCCCACCAAUGAAGCCGGAGAAUCGAAGAUUAAAUCUUUUUGUAUUAAAUCUUUCAGAAAGACAUCAAAUAUAUGUAAUUUUGGUUUAGUCUUCAUAACAAAUGUCUCUUAGCUAAUUUCUUUUCCCAAUUUUACUUCUGCGCCAGUUCACUCUUUAUUUUAAAACAUAUUUUGGACCAAUUUUCUGAUUCUAGCAUCUAGACUUUGAUACGUAACAUGCCCUUUUAUCAUGAAAAAUUUGUUUUCGUAUACAUAGCCAGCAACAUUCAUGACUCCAAUUCCUCAUAAUUUUUUCAUGUAUCACAGCAAACACACACCUCCUAAUCUUCAAUACCAACACUACAUCCAUCCAAAUAACCUAGAAAGGGACUAUUUAUGCAAUCCAUUUUAGAUGCUUUGUUUUGUAAAACAUAAAUUGUGAUUACCUCAUAACACGCACGAGCUUCCUCAAGUUUUCGCUGCACAAGAUAGAGUUGUCCAAGGUUGUGUAAAGUAGCACCAACACUGCAUUGUAAAGCAGAACUAGCGAUGCGGGAUGAAUCGGAAGCCGGGUUACGGUGCCCAACUGCGCUAACCUAGAACCCACAAAGGGUGUUGGUUGAUUAAGACAACAGGACGGUGGUCAUGGAAGUCGAAAUCCGCUAAGGAGUGUGUAACAACUCACCUGCUGAAUCAACUAGCCCCGAAAAUGGAUGGCGCUGAAGCGCGUGACCUAUACCCGGCAGUCGGGGCAAGAGCCAGGCCUCGAUGAGUAGGAGGGCACGGCAGUCGCUGCAAAACUAGGGCGGGAGCCCGGGCGGAGCUGCCGUUGGUGCAUAUCUUGGUGGUAGUAGCAAAUAUUCAAAUGAGAACUUUGAAGGUUCCAUGUGAACGGCACUUGCACAUGGGUUAGUCGAUCCAAACUAGCUCCCGUAGAUGAGACGGUUUUAUGAGCAGCGGACCGCAUGAUACAAUCAAAAUGAGGCCGUUAUCGCUUCACUCGAUAGCGGAAUCUACGAACUUGAUAUAGACGAUAUACUCUUGAGACUUACUUUGAGAAGAAAGAGAGAGAGGGAGAGAGUUGUGUGGUUGUGUUUUUUGCGAAUAGCAAGUGAAGAAAAUGAGAGAGUGAGGUGUUCCUUUUAUAGGCGAGAGGAGAAGCAGCUUGGUCCGUAAGUCGCGCGAAUGUUAGCGGAGAUCGUGGAGAAUCGGAGUGAUGCGCAAGACUUAACCGAGUCGAGAUCGUGGGCGAGAUUUUAGGAAGCGUUAUCACUUCUGUUUCUCGAUUUCGAAUUCGGAAAAGGAAUAUUCGGAUAUGCUUUUAAUAUUCGAAUAUGCCUUUAAUUAUGCAAAGGUUUCGAUUUCGUUAUUGGGCUUUCGAAUUUCGUUAAUGGGCCAAGUCUUAUGUAACAAAAGCCUCAUAAGUAUUUUCCCCAAAAAGAAUAUUCUUUUGUU
rnacentral:ncRNA from 1 species